rnacentral:rRNA from 1 species
GUCAGAGGUGAAAUUCUUGGAUUUAUCAAAGACUAACUAAUGCGAAAGCAUUUGCCAAGGAUGUUUUCAUUGAUCAAGAACGAAAGUUGGGGGAUCGAAGACGAAUCAGAUACCGUCGUAGUCUCAACCAUAAACAAUGCCGACUAGGGAUUGGUGAAUGUCGUUUAAAAAUCCUGACAUCAUCAGGACCAAAUCAAGAAUUUUGGGUUUUGGGGGUCUGAUGGCGCAAGGUCGCAAGGCUGAAAUUUGAAGGAAUUGACGGAAGGGCACCACCAGGAGUGGAGCCUGCGGCUUAAUUUGACUCAACACGGGAAAACUUACCAGGUCCGGACAUGAGAAGGAUUGACAGAUUGAGAGCACUUUCAAGAUUUCAUGGGUGGUGGUGCAUGGCCGUUCUUAGUUGGUGGAGUGAUUUGUCUGGUUAAUUCCGAUAACGAACGAAACCUUAACCUGCUAACUAGAUGCAUGUAUGAGGAUAUGUGCAGGCUUCUUAGAGGGACUGACUACGGAUAGUAGUCGGAAGUUGGGGGCAAUAACAGGUCUGUGAUGCCCUUAG